AGACCCGAAACCCGGUGAUCUAGCCAUGGGCAGGUUGAAGGUUGGGUAACACUAACUGGAGGACCGAACCGACUAAUGUUGAAAAAUUAGCGGAUGACCUGUGGCUGGGGGUGAAAGGCCAAUCAAACCGGGAGAUAGCUGGUUCUCCCCGAAAGCUAUUUAGGUAGCGCCUCGUGAAUUCAUCUCCGGGGGUAGAGCACUGUUUCGGCUAGGGGGCCAUCCCGGCUUACCAACCCGAUGCAAACUGCGAAUACCGGAGAAUGUUAUCACGGGAGACACACGGCGGGUGCUAACGUCCGUCGUGAAGAGGGAAACAACCCAGACCGCCAGCUAAGGUCCCAAAGUCAUGGUUAAGUGGGAAACGAUGUGGGAAGGCCCAGACAGCCAGGAUGUUGGCUUAGAAGCAGCCAUCAUUUAAAGAAAGCGUAAUAGCUCACUGGUCGAGUCGGCCUGCGCGGAAGAUGUAACGGGGCUAAACCAUGCACCGAAGCUGCGGCAGCGACACUCAGGUGUUGUUGGGUAGGGGAGCGUUCUGUAAGCCUGUGAAGGUGUGUCGUGAGGCAUGCUGGAGGUAUCAGAAGUGCGAAUGCUGACAUAAGUAACGAUAAAGCGGGUGAAAAGCCCGCUCGCCGGAAGACCAAGGGUUCCUGUCCAACGUUAAUCGGGGCAGGGUGAGUCGACCCCUAAGGCGAGGCCGAAAGGCGUAGUCGAUGGGAAACGGGUUAAUAUUCCCGUACUUGGUGUUACUGCGAAGGGGGGACGGAGAAGGCUAUGUUGGCCGGGCGACGGUUGUCCCGGUUUAAGCGUGUAGGUGUGUGUUCCAGGUAAAUCCGGUUCACUUUAACACUGAGGCGUGACGACGAGGCACUACGGUGCUGAAGCAACAAAUGCCCUGCUUCCAGGAAAAGCCUCUAAGCAUCAGGUAACAUCAAAUCGUACCCCAAACCGACACAGGUGGUCAGGUAGAGAAUACCAAGGCGCUUGAGAGAACUCGGGUGAAGGAACUAGGCAAAAUGGUGCCGUAACUUCGGGAGAAGGCACGCUGACAC
rnacentral:rRNA from 2 species